rnacentral:rRNA from 1 species
GUGAGGAAUAUUGGACAAUGGGCGCAAGCCUGAUCCAGCCAUGCCGCGUGCAGGAAGACGCAUCUAUGGUGUGUAAACUGCUUUUGUACGGGAAGAAACACUCCCUCGUGAGGGAGCUUGACGGUACCGUAAGAAUAAGGAUCGGCUAACUCCGUGCCAGCAGCCGCGGUAAUACGGAGGAUCCAAGCGUUAUCCGGAAUCAUUGGGUUUAAAGGGUCCGUAGGCGGUUGAAUAAGUCAGUGGUGAAAGCCCAUCGCUCAACGAUGGAACGGCCAUUGAUACUGUUAGACUUGAAUUACAAGGAAGUAACUAGAAUAUGUAGUGUAGCGGUGAAAUGCUUAGAUAUUACAUGGAAUACCAAUUGCGAAGGCAGGUUACUACUUGUGGAUUGACGCUGAUGGACGAAAGCGUGGGGAGCGAACAGGAUUAGAUACCCGGGUAGUCC